UACGGAGGGUGCAAGCGUUAUCCGGAUUCACUGGGUUUAAAGGGUGCGUAGGCGGGCAGGUAAGUCAGUGGUGAAAUCUCCGAGCUUAACUCGGAAACUGCCGUUGAUACUACUUGUCUUGAAUAUUGUGGAGGUAAGCGGAAUAUGUCAUGUAGCGGUGAAAUGCUUAGAUAUGACAUAGAACACCAAUUGCGAAGGCAGCUUACUACACAAUGAUUGACGCUGAGACACGAAAGCCAGGGGAGCGAACGGG
rnacentral:rRNA from 1 species